AUAUAUAUAUAUAUAUAUAUAUAUAGUUUAAAUAAAACAUUACAUUUUCAUUGUAAA
rnacentral:tRNA from 1 species